rnacentral:lncRNA from 1 species
AAUCAAAGAAAAAAAAGAAAGAAAAAGAAAAGGCCAGACACAGUGGCACAUGCCUCUAAUCCCAAUGCUUUGGGCGACUGAGGUAGGAGGGUUACUAGAUUUCACGACUUUGAGACCACCAUGGGCAUAAAGGAAAUAAAAAUAAAAAUUUAAUAUGUAUUCAGCAUUUCCAGAUACAUCUGGCAGCUCAGUGUGCUGCUGGGCUGUCAAGUCAUUGCCAUGGAAUGGUUUAGCUAAUCCUCAAUUUGGUUUGGUGUCUGAGCCCUACC